rnacentral:tRNA from 1 species
GAUCAGAUAGCUCAAUUGAUAGAGCAUCCGUCUAUAGUUCGGAGGGUCCCGGGUUCGAACCCCGGUCUGGCCG